GCCCUAGUAACGGCGAGUGAAGCGGCAACAGCUCAAAUUUGAAAUCUGGGUCCCCCGGGGCCCCGAGUUGUAAUUUGUAGAGGAUGCUUUGGUGUCGGCCCCGGUCUAAGUUCCUUGGAACAGGACGUCACAGAGGGUGAGAAUCCCGUACGUGGUCGGGUGCCAUCGCCGUGUAAAGCUCCUUCGACGAGUCGAGUUGUUUGGGAAUGCAGCUCUAAAUGGGAGGUAUAUUUCUUCUAAAGCUAAAUACCGGCCAGAGACCGAUAGCGCACAAGUAGAGUGAUCGAAAGAUGAAAAGCACUUUGGAAAGAGAGUCAAACAGUACGUGAAAUUGUUGAAAGGGAAGCGCUUGCGACUAGACUUGCCCGCGGUUGCUCACCAGGUCCUCGGGCCUGGGUACUCUUCCGCGGUCAGGCCAGCAUCAGCUCCGGCGGCCGGAUAAAGGCCCCAGGAAUGUAGCUGCCCUCGGGCAGUGUUAUAGCCUGGGGCGCCAUGCGACCAGCCGGGGCUGAGGCCCGCGAUUCGUCGAGGAUGCUGGCGUAAUAGUCGUAAGCGGCCCGUCUU
rnacentral:sRNA from 1 species